UAAUCCCAUGUUGGCAGCUGGUGGUGCC
rnacentral:misc_RNA from 1 species